GACGAACGCUGGCGGCGUGCUUAACACAUGCAAGUCGAACGAAGUGGCGCACGGGUGAGUAACGCGUAAUCAACCUGCCCUUCAGAGGGGGACAACAGUUGGAAACGACUGCUAAUACCGCAUACUGAAGGAGGGGAUUGCGUUUGAUUGGCUAGUUGGAGGGGUAACGGCCCACCAAGGCGAUGGUCAGUAGCCGGUCGUAGAGGAUGACCUGCCACAUUGGGACUGAGACACGGCCCAGACUCCUACGGGAGGCAGCAGUGGGGAAUCUUCCGCAAUGGACGAAAGUCUGACCGAGCAACGCGGCGUGAGUGAAGAAGGUUUGCGGAUCGUAAAACUCUGUUGUUAGAGAAGCGGUAUCUAACCAGAAAGCCACGGCUAACUACGUGCCAGCAGCCGCGGUAAUUC
rnacentral:rRNA from 1 species